CGAGAGGCCCAAACGUUAUUCGGAAUUACUGGGCUUAAAGAGUUCGUAGGCGGCGCAGAAAGUAGGGUGUGAAAGCCCUCGGCUUAACCGAGGAAUUGCGCUCUAAACUACUGUGCUUGAGGAACCUAGAGGUGAGCAGAACAGAUGGUGGAGCGGUGAAAUGCGUUGAUAUCAUCUGGAAUACCGGAGGCGAAGGCGGCUCACUGGGGGUUUUCUGACGCUGAGGAACGAAAGCCAGGGUAGCGAACGGGAUUAGAUACCCCGGUAGUCCUGGCCGUAAACGAUGAGCACUAGGCCGGAGGGCUGCACAGCUUUCCGGCCGUAGCUAAAGUGUUAAGUGCUCCGCCUGGGGAGUAUGGUCGCAAGGCUG
rnacentral:rRNA from 1 species